rnacentral:rRNA from 1 species
UACGGAGGGUGCGAGCGUUGUCCGGAAUCACUGGGCGUAAAGGGCGCGUAGGCGGCGCGGAUAGUCGGCGGUGAAAGCCCGGAGCUCAACUCCGGGUCGGCCGUCGAUACUUCCGGGCUUGAGCACUGUAGAGGCAGGAUGGAAUUCCGGGUGUAGCGGUGGAAUGCGUAGAGAUCCGGAAGAACACCGGUGGCGAAGGCGGUCUGCUGGGCAGUUGCUGACGCUGA